rnacentral:rRNA from 1 species
AAUUGACGGGGCCGCACAAGCGUGGAGCAUGUGGUUUAAUUCGAAGCAACGCGAAGAACCUUACCAGGUCUUGACAUCCCGAUGCUAUUUCUAGAGAUAGAAAGUUACUUCGGUACAUCGGUGACAGGUGGUGCAUGGUUGUCGUCAGCUCGUGUCGUGAGAUGUUGGGUUAAGUCCCGCAACGAGCGCAACCCCUACGUUUAGUUGCUAACGCGUGAAGGCGAGCACUCUAGACGAACUGCCGUUGACAAAACGGAGGAAGGUGGGGAUGACGUCAAAUCAUCAUGCCCCUUAUGUUCUGGGCUACACACGUGCUACAAUGGCCGGUACAGACGGACGCAAAGCCGCGAGGUGGAGCAAAUCCUAAAAAGCCGGUCUCAGUUCGGAUUGCAGGCUGCAAUUCGCCUGCAUGAAGUCGGAAUCGCUAGUAAUCGCAGGUCAGCAUACUGCGGUGAAUACGUUCCCGGGCCUU